GCCACUAGUGGUGUAGUGGCAGCACGCGUCCCCCGUAUCGAUGAAGCGCGGGUUCGAUUCCCGUCUGAGGCC